UUUAACCUGCAUCAGGUGCCAGUGUUGCCGAGCUUGUAUUUCUGCAUCUCAGUUUGGAUCCACAGCUGCCCUCCUGCAACAGCUUAUAAUGCCAUCUUCUUCCAACAGUGCCUCUUCAGUGGAGCUGAACCCAGCCCUUGAACCUGUCAACUGGUUGCUGGGUACCUGGGAGAGUGAUGAACCUGGACAGGGAGGCUUCCACUCCAUCAAACCUUUCAGCUACACAGAGAAGCUGCACUUCAGCCACAUGGGACAACCA